rnacentral:tRNA from 1 species
GGGGCUAUAGCUCAGUUGGUAGAGCGCUUGCAGCUUGAAGGGUCUGGAGAGUGGUGCUGGCCAUCAGCCUUGCAAGCACAAGGCCCUGGGUUCAAUCCCCAGUACCCCUU